GCAGCACUGAGCAGAAAUAACACGGCUCCUGCUCAUUCUUCAUCAGUGAGGGGCUGAUGCUGGACACUGUAGGGACCCUGGAAUAUAAAUUCAUACACGACUGAUCUUUGUAGGAAGAAGUUGAUGGAGACCUCAGGAUCUUUCUCCGGGAACAGUUCUUUUACAAACCAAUAUGGUGGAAACUGCCUCUGGUUAUCCAAGUCCUGAAAAGAAAGAUUUUAUUGCAGGUUAACUAUUUUAGCAUUUCAUCUCCUGGUUACAUUAGAGUCUAUGAUGGUGUCACUAAAUCCUCACGUGUCCUAUUGGAGAAGACAAGCGGAGGCGGACACUUACGACCUGUGGUUUCCUCUGGACAUAACAUGCUUGUAGAGUUUGUGACCACAGCCAGUUCUAAAUUUAGCGAAUUCGAUGUCUCUUAUAACACUGGUAAGUGGUCAGCAGUGGUCCAAAACAAUUUUCCAGUGGAAAAAGAAGGGAUUGAUCAUAAUACAAUGUCCUGACCUCCGGAUCACAAUGUCAUCUUGGUCUACCCCAUUCUUGAGCAUGUGUAGAUUCAGUGAAAAGUCAUGUAACAUUAUUUUACUAGCUAAGUAACAUUAGUGGUGUCCAUUUGCACCACAUAUCAGUCCCUGUGUAAAAUAAAUAAAGUUGUGACUUUUUAUCUGCUUGGACUUUUGCCCCCUUUAUGAAAAGUGGUAACCAGGCAAAGGGCAAGUAUGGGUCAGAGAUCCAGUUUCCCCAACCCAACAGGGCCAAGCUGCCUGCUUCAGUGGCAAUGAGCGAUAAGGCUUCUUUAAAGGGGUACGCUGCCCCAAGACAUCUUAUCCCCUAUCCAAAAGGGACCCCUGCGAUCUCUGCUGUGGCACCCCAGACAUCCGGUGCACUAAGCGAGCUUCGUUCCAUGCCGGAUGACUAGAGAUACGGGGCAGAGGCUCGUGAUGUCACGGCCACGCCCCACUCGUGGGAUCACGGCAACGCCCCCUCAAUGCAAGUCUAUGUGAGGGGGGCAUGAAGUCACAAGCCUCAGACGCUGCACCCGACGCUCUAAAUGAAUACAGGGAGAUUGCCGGGGUCCCCAGCGGCUGGACCGGAUGUCUAGGGGCUGAGUACACCGUUAAGGCUGGCCCAGUUCUUGACAAAGAUGCCCUACAGCUGCCUAUUCCCUCAAUAUAGAGCCAACAGCGAUUUUUCCAGAAAUACUUAAUUUUAAAGGGGUUAUCAAAGAGCAGUUUUUGGAAGAAAUUAGCUCUAUUUUUUUUAUUUUUUUAUGUAUUCAAAAAGUUUUUAUUGAACAAAUAUGGGAGAACAAACAACAUCCACCGCAAGUAGGGUGGUAAUAAAUCUCCAACUACAACACUCGCAGAGUUGACAAUCCCUGGCGAGAUCAUAUAACAAUGGUAAUGAGAGAAAUCUUACACAGUCUACUGCAUUAGUAUAGUUGAGGGACUAUCAGGAGAAAUUACACAGUGGGGUAAA